GGGGCGCAGAGCUGCACUCAGCCUCGGCAGAUAUGACCUGUGGAGCUGCCUUGUCUCCUCCUCCCCGCGGUGCGUUUAAGGAGUUUCUCUUCCGGUCCGAGAAAGCGGCUCUGGCUCCCUCCUCUGUCCCGGCAGCACAGGCUGAUAGACUGGAAUAAGAAAAAAAGAAUCUUAAAAAAGUUGGAGAAGAUAAAGUAUAGUCUUCAAACCAGAAAAGCAACAAAGUAGGUUACGGAUAAGCCCUCCGUUGCCCGGGUAAAUUACCCAUUGAUAUGCAGAUGAACUUCUCUACACCCCUGAGGAAUGAUGCAAAUACACUAAGGCCAUACUUCUCUCCACCCUGGAGCACCUGUUGAUAUGCAGAUGUACUAAAGCCAGGCGAGAUAUUCUGGAAAUACUACAGUUUUACCCACAAGCCCUCUGGAGAAAAACUGCAUAGAAAGUUUAGAAAGGAAGAAGUCUGGGUUUUUUUUGACACAUAAACACAAACUUGUGAAGUAAUUCAUAAGUAGAUGAUUUGGUUUCAGGUUUCUUUCUGAAAGAUUUUUUUAUAUUUAUAUUUCUGGGGGGUCUUUUAAAAGGGAAGCAGCAAAUCUUAAAGUUAACGAUUUUUACUAGGGCUUUCAGUACUCACUGGAAAAUAUCUUACAUGGGUUAUUUUUAUAUUACUUUUUUUGCUCUUUAAAAUACAAAAUAGUAUAAACUGAUUCUAAAAUUUGGCACUGGAAAGGCUGGAUUAUUGACAAGUCACUUUAAAUAUGUUGGUUUUUUUAAAUUGUAAAAAUAUACAUAAAAUUUACCAUUUUAAACAUUUUGAAGUGUACAUUUCAGGGGCAUCUCAAAUUGUUGUACAGCCGUUACCAACAUCUAUCUCCAGAACUGUAUCCUCCCCAAAAUGGAACUGUACCCUCUUAGCUCCACAUCCCUCCACCCUCGGGCCCCUGGCAACCCCCAUCUCACUUUCUUUGUGGACUACCUUUUGGUAUUUUUGUUAUAUGCAUUUUUCACAUCCACUGUAAUCAUACAGUUUUUCUCCACUGACCUAAUUGAGUAAUUUUCUGUUACUGAAUUAACUUUGAUCAUUGUACCAAAUACAUACAUAUUCUUUUAAUGCACUCUGGACUUGUUUUUACUAAUACUGUGUUCAGGAUUUUGUAACCAUUUUUGAAACUGGUCUGUUUUUAAUUUGUAUUGUCUUUGUUGGGUGAUGGAUUCAUGUUAUACUGUCUUCAAAACAAUUUGCAACUUCCUUUCUGUUUUCUGGAACAAUUGAACAAGAAAUUGUUUCUUGACCAUUUGAAAGAACUCCCCAGAGAAGCUUGCUUCCCUCCCCUCUUUUUCAGAGUAAUACUUUCCCAACAGGUAAUUUUCUCUCUUGGUUUGCUGUAUCUUUUCAGGUCAGUUUUGGCAUUUGCAAUGCCAGAGUAAUUCAUUUCUUGUAGAUUUUCAAUAUACCAAUGGUUAUGCAAGGUAUCCUCUGUAAUCUGGCUUUUUCUCUAUUUGGUUUAUUUCCUUUCUUCAGUGCUAACUUUCUACAUUUGUUUUUCCUUUCUCCUAUUGAUUAGGAAUAGUUCUAAUCUAUUUUUGUAUAACAAAUUAUCCCCAAACUUUGAAGCUUAAAACAACAAACAUGAACACAAUUUGUGUGGGUCAGGAAUCUAGGAGCAGCUUAGCUGAGUGCCUCUGGCCCAACGUCUCACACUGUAGGAUUUCACUGGACCUAAAGUGUUCUGCCUCCAAGCUCAUUUAUGUAGUUUGCAGGCUUCUUGCUUUGUGUGCUGGGCUGAGAGCCUUAUUUAGUUCCUCACCACACCGGUGGAGCUUUGGUCAACUCACAGCGUGGCAUAUUGCUUCUCUCAGUGACAGUGAUCCAAGAAAUGGAGAACAAGAGCAUUCCUAAUGGAAGCAAUGGCCUUUUGUUAUGAAAUCUUGGAAGUGAUAAGGUGUCUCUGCUGCAUACUGUUUCUGAGAAGGAAGUCACUAGCUACAGCCCACACUCCAGGGGAGGGAAUUACAAAAGGGUGUUACUAUUAGGUGGUAGAGGUUAUUAAGGGCCAUCUUGGAGGCUGCCUAUCACAGCUAAUGGCCUGCUUAUUUAAAGAGCCAGCUUUUAGGUUUAUCAGCUCUAACAAUUACUGUUUUCUGAUUAAUUUCAUCAUUUAUCUUUGUUCUGCUUCAACUGGGUUUCCUCUUUUCUUUGUUUUAGAUGUAUGUUUUUAUACUCUUUUUGUUUGAUAAUGGAAGUAUAGGGCUUCAGCUCUGCCCUGUAUUUUUUUUACCUUACAGAUUUUGCUAAGAGUAUUUUUGUUUAACAUAAAUUACAUCUUGGCUGGUACAGAAUUCUUCAAUCUUACCCUUUGCUACAUUGUCUUUCAGCAUUCCUUACAGCUUUGGAGAUGUCAUCUUCUAAGGAACAUCGGAAGGUCUGCCAAAGAUGGUUUUUUCACUCACAUUUCUUGAUACCUCAUUGCUUCUCCACUUGGUCUCUCUUGUCAGCAAUCUGGAUUUUAUAAAUAGAGCUUGUGGCUCUAAGAGGCAGUAACCUGGCCAGGUUAGUUAAGGGCUAUACCCUGGACUAGCACAGCAUUACUUCUGCUGUAACUUGUUGGUCCAAACAGUUGAAUGCUCUCCAUAGAUUUUUUUGGUGGGGAGAAUAGAUGUAAUGGUUUGAUGGCUGAGUACCACCAAAAUCACACUGCAGAGGAGCAUAUGUGGGAGAUAGUUGUCAUGGCCAUUUUUGGAAAUUACAAUCUUCCAAAGGAGAAUUCUGAGACUGUUAUAUUUGUAUUUGCCUUUUUUAGAUACCUUAAUUUUCUGCCUGGAUGCUUGUAAGAUUGUCUUUAAAAUUUUAUUAUAUUUUGAAUUGCAUGCUAGUAGUUAAAAGUAAAACAGCAGUGUUUAGGUUUGUAAUGAAAAACAGAGCCCUAACUCUCACUUUUCCAACUCCCGAUUCUUGCUCUCCAGAAGUAAUCACUUUCAUUUCUUUAGGUAUUUGUGCCUGUAUUUCUAAAUAUGCUUUAGUGUGAUUUCUUGAUUUUUCACGUUUAGGUGCAUAUUGACUUAAAAGGAAAGAUUAAGGUUUAGUUGUUAAACAAUGUCUCUUCAUAGUUUGGGCUGUUGUAACAAAAAUAUCACAGACUAGGUGGCUUAAACAACAAAUACUUAUAUAUCACAGUUCUGUAGGAUGGCAAGUCCAAGAUCAGGAUGCCAGCCUAUUUGGGU